AACUCCUACGGGAGGCAGCAGUGAGGAAUAUUGGUCAAUGGGCGGAAGCCUGAACCAGCCAAGUAGCGUGCAGGAUGACGGCCCUAUGGGUUGUAAACUGCUUUUAUACAGGAAUAAAGUUAGCCACGUGUGGUUAUUUGUAUGUACUGUAUGAAUAAGGACCGGCUAAUUCCGUGCCAGCGAGCCGCGGUAAUAA
rnacentral:rRNA from 1 species